AUUGAACGCUGGCGGUAUGCUUAACACAUGCAAGUCGAACGAGUGGCGGCCGGGUGAGUAAUGCAUAGGAAUCUCCCUUUUAGUCUAGGAUAACUACCCGAAAGGGUGGCUCAUACUGGAUGCUAAGAGUUGCGCCUAUGUGGGAUUAGCUAGUUGGUGGGGUAAUGGCUCACCAAGGCGACGAUCUCUAGCUGGUUUGAGAGGAUGAUCAACCCCUCUGGGACUGAGACACGGCCCAGACUCAUACUUAAGACAACAAUAAUAAAUAUUAUAGAAUUGCCGAAAGCCUGAGCCGUCAAUACCGCGUGUGUGAAGAAACCCCUAGGGUUAUAAAUCACUUUUGUUAGGGAGAUGUUACCUAAAGAAUAAGCACCGGCUAACUCCGUGCCAGCAGCCGCGGUAAUUC
rnacentral:rRNA from 1 species